GUAGGUGGCAAGCGUUGUCCGGAUUUAUUGGGCGUAAAGCGAGCGCAGGCGGAAUGAUAAGUCUGAUGUGAAAGCCCACGGCUCAACCGUGGAACUGCAUCGGAAACUGUCAUUCUUGAGUGCAGAAGAGGAGAGUGGAACUCCAUGUGUAGCGGUGGAAUGCGUAGAUAUAUGGAAGAACACCAGUGGCGAAGGCGGCUCUCUGGUCUGCAACUGACGCUGAGGCUCGAAAGCAUGGGUAGCGAACAGGAUUAGAUACCCUGGUAGUCCAUGCCGUAAACGAUGAGCGCUAGGUGUUGGGGACUUUCCGGUCCUCAGUGCCGCAGCAAACGCAUUAAGCGCUCCGCCUGGGGAGUACGACCGCAAGGUUG
rnacentral:rRNA from 2 species